rnacentral:rRNA from 1 species
GAUGAACGCUAGCGGCAGGCCUAACACAUGCAAGUCGAGGGGUAACUAGAGUGAUAGCGAUAUUACUUUGGCUAGACCGGCGCACGGGUGCGUAACACGUAUGCAACCUACCUUAUACUGGGGAAUAACUUCGAGAAAUCGGCGCUAAUACCCCAUAACAUUGCGAAGAGGCAUCUCUUUGCAAUUAAAGCUCCGGCGGUAUAAGAUGGGCAUGCGUCCAAUUAGCUAGUUGGUGAGGUAACGGCUCACCAAGGCUACGAUUGGUAGGGGUUCUGAGAGGAUGAUCCCCCACACUGGUACUGAGACACGGACCAGACUCCUACGGGAGGCAGCAGUGAGGAAUAUUGCGCAAUGGACGAAAGUCUGACGCAGCCAUGCCGCGUGCAGGAUGGCGGCCCUAUGGGUUGUAAACCGCUUUUGUACGGGAAUAAACCCUUCUACGUGUAGGAGGCUGAAGGUACCGUAAGAAUAAGCACCGGCUAACUCCGUGCCAGCCGCCGCGGUAAGAC